rnacentral:rRNA from 1 species
UACGUAGGGGGCAAGCGUUGUCCGGAAUCAUUGGGCGUAAAGAGCGUGUAGGCGGCCCGAUAAGUCCGCUGUGAAAGUCCAGGGCUCAACCCUGGAAUGCCGGUGGAUACUGUCGGGCUCGAAUCCGGAAGAGGUGAGUGGAAUUCCUGGUGUAGCGGUGAAAUGCGCAGAUAUCAGGAGGAACACCGGUGGCGAAGGCGGGUCUGUGGGCCGAUACUGACGCUGAGGAGCGAAAGCGUGGGGAGCGAACAGG